rnacentral:rRNA from 1 species
CCUACGGGGCGCUGCAGUGGGGAAUAUUGGACAAUGGGCGAAAGCCUGAUCCAGCCAUGCCGCGUGUGUGAAGAAGGCCUUCGGGUUGUAAAGCACUUUCAGUGGGGAAGAAAGCCUUGGGGCUAAUACCCUCGAGGAAGGACAUCACCCACAGAAGAAGCACCGGCUAACUCCGUGCCAGCAGCCGCGGUAAUACGGAGGGUGCGAGCGUUAAUCGGAAUUACUGGGCGUAAAGCGCGCGUAGGCGGUCUGAUAAGCCGGUUGUGAAAGCCCCGGGCUCAACCUGGGAACGGCAUCCGGGACUGUCAGGCUAGAGUGCAGGAGAGGAAGGUAGAAUUCCCGGUGUAGCGGUGAAAUGCGUAGAGAUCGGGAGGAAUACCAGUGGCGAAGGCGGUCUUCUGGACUGACACUGACGCUGAGGUGCGAAAGCGUGGGUAGCAAACAGGAUUAGAUACCCGAGUAGUC